GUCUGCUACCUCAUGUUUGUGCCUUCCCGCAGGAGUAAAAAUUUGCCUUGUCAAGAACUCCUGUGCCUUGUCUGAGUGCAUUCUUUUGGACACAGAAAAUUUGAGUCUGGGGGCUUAUUUCCAACAGGAAUAUAUGUAAAGUGAGGUCUGUAACUUUCCACGGAGUCAUCUGGAGUGAGAAAGAAGUGGUGCACCGGAUUAAUACAUCACUAAGUGAGAAUUCAAUGACUCUUUUGUGAAAGUGGUGACCUGUACAUCAGGAACAUAAUGCAAUUGCAACUACAUAACCAGAACAGAGAGUGGACCUCUGCUGAAGACGUGCCCAGUCGUUUCCAUUGUUAAAAGAGAGUCUGGCUUGAAAUUGUUUUCAAUUUUUCAAAUAACAGGGAAAGAUUAACACUAAGGCAACUGCAUUUAAAAUGUAAAGUUGGGGAAUGGCUUAAAAUUUUAAAGCUACACUGUCAUUAAUUUUGCAAGAUGUCAGAGUUUAAAGGAAAAUACCAGUGAGAAGCCAUGGAACAGCCUCUGUAUAAUGAGGGAUGAAAGAAAAGGGGAAUGACAUUUAUUCCUCUCUGCCCUGUCACUUUGGCUUUACAUCAGUUGCUUAAGGGGUGGCACUGAAGCAUGUGACUGGUUUCAAAAGAGCCUUAAUAAUGAAAGAGAAAAGCGAUUCUUGCAUAUUAAAUGUACUGCAGAUUCAAUACACUGAAAAGGACAACAGGAAGAAGAAUAAUCAUAUUUUAUUGUGGGAAACAAACAAUUUUCACUUACUAUCCUAAAGUCAGCAUGGCAGAUGGCACGAGGCAGCAAGAUGGGCCUUGUGAACCCAGAGCUCUCUGAAUUCAGGGCAUAUUUCUACUGUGAAGGAAAGACAACAGCGGCGCUGACCAGCUGUGACUUCUCCAGACGGUCACGAAUGCCGCAGCCACAAGGAGGCUCAGGUCUCCUGGCCACUCUAGAGAACAAAGCAUUGACACUGAUCAGAAGAUCAUACUCAAAAUACACCAACCACAUGAAAUUAUUUGCAGUAUUUUGUAUAUAAAUUUGUGUUUUUACAAAAUACAAAAAAAUUUUUUUUAUGAAAUUUCCAAU
rnacentral:lncRNA from 1 species